rnacentral:rRNA from 1 species
CAGGCUUAACACAUGCAAGUCGAGGGGCAGCAUUUCAGUUUGCUUGCAAACUGGAGAUGGCGACCGGCGCACGGGUGAGUAACACGUAUCCAACCUGCCGAUAACUCGGGGAUAGCCUUUCGAAAGAAAGAUUAAUACCCGAUGGUAUAAUCAGACCGCAUGGUCUUGUUAUUAAAGAAUUUCGGUUAUCGAUGGGGAUGCGUUCCAUUAGGCAGUUGGUGAGGUAACGGCUCACCAAACCUUCGAUGGAUAGGGGUUCUGAGAGGAAGGUCCCCCACAUUGGAACUGAGACACGGUCCAAACUCCUACGGGAGGCAGCAGUGAGGAAUAUUGGUCAAUGGGCGCAGGCCUGAACCAGCCAAGUAGCGUGAAGGAUGACUGCCCUAUGGGUUGUAAACUUCUUUUAUAUGGGAAUAAAGUUUUCCACGUGUGGAAUUUUGUAUGUACCAUAUGAAUAAGGAUCGGCUAACUCCGUGCCAGCAGCCGCGGUAAUACGGAGGAUCCGAGCGUUAUCCGGAUUUAUUGGGUUUAAAGGGAGCGUAGGUGGACAGUUAAGUCAGUUGUGAAAGUUUGCGGCUCAACCGUAAAAUUGCAGUUGAUACUGGCUGUCUUGAGUACAGUAGAGGUGGGCGGAAUUCGUGGUGUAGCGGUGAAAUGCUUAGAUAUCACGAAGAACUCCGAUUGCGAAGGCAGCUCACUGGACUGCAACUGACACUGAUGCUCGAAAGUGUGGGUAUCAAACAGGAUUAGAUACCCUGGUAGUCCACACAGUAAACGAUGAAUACUCGCUGUUUGCGAUAUACAGUAAGCGGCCAAGCGAAAGCAUUAAGUAUUCCACCUGGGGAGUACGCCGGCAACGGUGAAACUCAAAGGAAUUGACGGGGGCCCGCACAAGCGGAGGAACAUGUGGUUUAAUUCGAUGAUACGCGAGGAACCUUACCCGGGCUUAAAUUGCAUUUGAAUAUAUUGGAAACAGUAUAGCCGUAAGGCAAAUGUGAAGGUGCUGCAUGGUUGUCGUCAGCUCGUGCCGUGAGGUGUCGGCUUAAGUGCCAUAACGAGCGCAACCCUUAUCUUUAGUUACUAACAGGUCAUGCUGAGGACUCUAGAGAGACUGCCGUCGUAAGAUGUGAGGAAGGUGGGGAUGACGUCAAAUCAGCACGGCCCUUACGUCCGGGGCUACACACGUGUUACAAUGGGGGGUACAGAAGGCAGCUACCUGGUGACAGGAUGCUAAUCCCAAAAGCCUCUCUCAGUUCGGAUCGAAGUCUGCAACCCGACUUCGUGAAGCUGGAUUCGCUAGUAAUCGCGCAUCAGCCAUGGCGCGGUGAAUACGUUCCCGGGCCUUGUACACACCGCCCGUCAAGCCAUGAAAGCCGGGGGUACCUGAAGUACGUAACCGCAAGGAGCGUCCUAGGGUAAAACUGGUAAUUG